GACNAACGCUGGCGGCGUGCUUAACACAUGCAAGUCUACGAGAAAGUUUUCUUCGGAAAGCAAUUAAAGUGGCGCACGGGUGAGUAACACGUAAGUAAUCUACCCUUAGGUCUGGAAUAACUCCGAGAAAUCGGUGCUAAUACCGGAUGAUGCAGCGGCACCACAUGGUGAUGUUGUUAAAGUCUAUAUGACGCCUAUCGAUGAGCUUGCGUCUGAUUAGUUUGUUGGUGAGGUAAAAGCUCACCAAGGCUACGAUCAGUAGCUGGUCUGAGAGGAUGAUCAGCCACACUGGAACUGAGACACGGUCCAGACUCCUACGGGAGGCAGCAGUGAGGAAUAUUGGGCAAUGGGCGAAAGCCUGACCCAGCAACGCCGCGUGGAGGAUGAAUGUCGUAAGAUUGUAAACUCCUGUUAGGGGGGAAGAAUAAUCCCGAUCGACUCGGGACUUGACUGUACCCUCAGAGAAAGCUCCGGCUAACUACGUGCCAGCAGCCGCGGUAAUACGUANGGAGCGAGCGUUGUCCGGAUUUACUGGGUGUAAAGGGCGCGCAGGCGGGUUGGUAAGUCAGAGGUGAAAUCCUACAGCUCAACUGUAGAACUGCCCUUGAUACUGCUAAUCUUGAGUAUGGAAGAGAGAGACGGAAUUCCAGGUGUAGUGGUGA
rnacentral:rRNA from 1 species